AGAGCUACAGCGGUCUCCGGGUGGCGAAGUGCGGAGACGGGGUUUUGGAGACGGUGGAUGGAGGAGGGGGAGGGAAAGCUGCCAACUUUGGAUACCAACCCCGUACACCCACCGAAGGGGAUGUCCCACUUUUUCCAGCGCUGGGAGCAAAAAGAUAACAGUGAGCGAGGUUGAAAACACCUGACAGUGAAAAGAGCAAUUUGAAGAAAAACAAAAUUUAUCUUCAAUGUGAAAAGCAAUUUAUAAAAAUCCGAAUACUUGCCAGGAGCAACUUGACAAAAAAGACAAAGGUGGUAGAAGAAAUGUAACCAGCCCACAAUUCCAAUGUUGAUAACAGAUGAGCUCCCUUUCAAGGUGACUGACAUUUACACAAGUACACAGAGCAAGAAGAAGGUCUGAGUGAACUGCCAAGCAUUUUAACUUCUCCUGAGACCAAGUACAUCAACAGUUCUCUUGGAAAAGAACAACUGAUUUGGGAGUCUAGCAGACUGCCAGCUGCAAGACAUUCAUCCAGCAUCAGGAACACAAUGGGCCUUCAUUUGCCUGCCUUUCUGAGGGCACCAAUCAAAAGUAACAGCUGCCACCUUUUUCUAUGAGACUUGAUUAUAAUUUUCUAUGGCCAAGGGUUUGCUGUGACACUUCCACAUCAUUCUUCAGUAUGUAGUCCAGAGAUUAGCUACAGAUUCAAGAAACACAGACUGUAAACUAUUAUAUACAGACAUAUCUCAAAAUAAGCAUACCCAUUAGUGCCAGCUGCCCUGAAAGACUGAAUGACCCCAGCUAUUUUCCAAAUGUUUUUUCAGAAAGCCAUGAACACACCUUUCUGGGAUCCUAUCUAUUUCAAAGACAGGCAAAGCUCUGUGGUUCAGUUCCACCACCCAGUACCAAGCCCACAGUAUGCAGACCAUACGCCUUACACAUGGCCUUUUCUCUUUAUGUAAUUGCUGUACCAUAUUCAGCAGAUCUAGACUGACUCAAAGCAUGUUCCCUCAAGAAGCUCCACAGAAAAAAAGGUUUCUGUGAUCAAAAAUCAUUUGGGAAAUGCUGCAAACCCUAUCUGCCUCUUAGAGCUUAACCAUGCAUGUCGGGGCAUAAUAUAAACCUUUUCCAGUCUGGGCCACAGAGUGAGACCCCACCUCUAAAAUAAUAAAUCAAUAAACUCUUGAGAAGUACACAGAAAAGAAACUUCUGUAACUUUUUAGGUCUUAAUUACAAGCAAUUGUAGCUUAAUCUAAACUUGCUCUUCACUUUAUUUCUAUGCUCUUGAAAACUAGUGACAUAAGCCUUAUGAAUUUUUUGUUUGUUUGUUUCUUCUUUUUUUAAGAGAGAGACAGGGUCUCAUUCUGUUGCUCAGGUUGGAGUGCAGAGGCACAAUCAUAGCUCACCGUAACCUUGAAUUCCUAGUCUCAAGUAAUCCUCCCAUCUCAGCCUCCCUAAUAACUAGGACUACAGGCACAUACCACCACAUCUGGCUAGUGUGUGUGUGUGUGUGUGUGUGUGUGUGUGUGUAAAGACAGGGGUCUCAUUAUGUUCCCCAGGCUGGUCUUGAACUCCUGGGCUUAAGCGAUCCUCCCACCGCAGCCUCCCAAAACUUUGGGAUUACAGGCAUGAGCCACUACACCUGGCUGGAUUAUUCUUUCUUUAAAAAAAUUUUUUUGGCCGGGCGCCGUGACUGUAAUCCCGGCACUUUGAGGGGCCGAGGCGGGCGAAUCACGAGGUCAGGAGAUAGAGACCAUCCUGGCUAACACGGUGAAACCCCGUCUCUACUAAAAAAAAAUAC
rnacentral:lncRNA from 1 species